UACAGAGGUCUCAAGCGUUGUUCGGAUUCAUUGGGCGUAAAGGGUGCGUAGGCGGCGUGGUAAGUCGGGUGUGAAAUCUCGGAGCUUAACUCCGAAACUGCAUUCGAUACUGCCGUGCUUGAGGACUGGAGAGGAGAUCGGAAUUCACGGUGUAGCAGUGAAAUGCGUAGAGAUCGUGAGGAAGACCCGUGGCGAAGGCGGAUCUCUGGACGGCUAACUGACGCUGAGGCGCGAAGGCCAGGGGAGCAAACGGG
rnacentral:rRNA from 1 species